CAGCGACGUCCGUCCCUGCAAGCCCGUUCAGUCGUCGGCCCAAGAGCCGGUUGCCCUUGGCCGCGCGCGGGUUUCCUGUGCUGCGUACCUACCGAACGGAAUUCGUGCGACGCAUCGUCCGCCGUUCGCCUUGUGCUGCGCCCCCUUGGGGUUGCGGCGCGGGGUGAACCCCAAAGCUGUUCUCGCGUUCCUCGCCGUGGCACGAAGCGUGCCGUCGGCGCGGCCCGCGAGUUAUGGCUCGUGCUCUCGGAUGCGGAACACUCGGAGGGCAGGAGGCCUGCGGCCUCCCUUCGCCCGAACGAACGAAGCGUUUACUCGCUCGCGACCGAACGACUGCCGUCGUUGCUUCGGGCGUCCUAUCCUUCGGGUUGGGACGUGCCCGUGCCGCGACGGCGUC
rnacentral:misc_RNA from 1 species